CCUACGGGUGGCAGCAGUGGGGAAUAUUGGGCAAUGGGCGAAAGCCUGACCCAGCAACGCCGCGUGAAGGAAGAAGGCUUUCGGGUUGUAAACUUCUUUUAAGGGGGAAGAGCAGAAGACGGUACCCCUUGAAUAAGCCACGGCUAACUACGUGCCAGCAGCCGCGGUAAUACGUAGGUGGCAAGCGUUGUCCGGAUUUACUGGGUGUAAAGGGCGUGCAGCCGGAGAGCCAAGUCAGAUGGGAAAUCCACGGGCUCAACCCGUGAACUGCAUUUGAAACUGUUUCCCUUGAGUGUCGGAGCGUUAAUCGGAAUUCCUUGUGUAGCGGUGAAAUGCGUAGAUAUAAGGAAGAACACCAGUGGCGAAGGCGGAUUACUGGACGAUAACUGACGGUGCGGCGCGAAAGCGUGGGGAGCAAACAGGAUUAGAUACCCGGGUAGUC
rnacentral:rRNA from 1 species